rnacentral:sRNA from 1 species
CAAACAUGCAAAAUACACACUUAUCAAUUCCCCCAAACUUAGUCUUUGCUUGCCCUCAAGCAAACAUUCAAGAACAAGCUGGAAGUGAGGUUUGAAAGCGGGGACUCAGAGCCAAAGCACCAGAUAGACGAGAUGAAAUCAAUGUCCAAGUUAAAAGUUCUAAGCUGCAAGAUCGAAUUCUACUUAAAAACGUUAGCCAUGCCUCAUCAAUCAAUCAAUCCGACUCAUAUGCUCGACCUACACAAGUUUUCAAAUCUAUCAAUCCCUUUAACAUUCAUUAGUUCUGGAACGUGAAUCAAGCAAUGCAUCAUCAAAGAACUCAUUUGGCUAAGGUAAAAGGUCAAGAGACAAAGAUGGUCCCUUACAGAAUAGGCUUCAGUAACAGGGGAUCUCUCAAAAAAUGAUUAAGCUUUAGUAGAAUGCUAAAGGUAAGUCCCAAGCUAUGCAUACAGAGAUAAGAUCCCAUCUACCCAGAGUACAUCAAAUGAAGCUCUAAUGGUAAUCCCAUCUCCAAUCCCAAUACAAGAACUAAACUCUACCCUUUUCAUUCAUGAAUCUUUUAAGCACUUUUUCUAAUCAUUCUUUUCUUUUCUCUUAACUCUAGGAGAAGCUUUCUCAACACUUUGUUACAUCUAGCGGAUUUGGAUUUCUUUAACAACUAAGGUUCCUGUUUUUAACAUUUUAAA